UUGGAGGGCAAGUCUGGUGCCAGCAGCCGCGGUAAUUCCAGCUCCAAUAGCGUAUAUUAAAGUUGUUGCAGUUAAAAAGCUCGUAGUUGAAUUUCGGGGUCAGUAGAUUGGUCAUGCCACUGGUAUGUACUGGUCUCACUGAUUCCUCCUUCCUGAUGAGCCGUAAUGCCAUUAAUUUGGUGUUGCGGGGAAUUUGGACUGUUACUUUGAAAAAAUUAGAGUGUUUAAAGCAAGCUAACGCUUGAAUACAUUAGCAUGGAAUAAUGAAAUAGGACGUUCGAUCCUAUUUUGUUAGUUUCUAGGAUUGACGUAAUGAUUAAUAGGGAUAGUUGGGGGCAUUAGUAUUCAAUUGUCAGAGGUGAAAUUCUUGGAUUUAUUGAAGACUAACUACUGCGAAAGCAUUUGCCAAGGAUGUUUUCAUUAAUCAAGAACGAAAGUUAGGGGAUCGAAGACGAUCAGAUACCGUCGUAGUCUUAACCAUAAACUAUGCCGACUAGGGAUCGGAUGAUGUUAAUUUUUUAAUGACUCAUUCGGCGCCUUACGGGAAAC
rnacentral:rRNA from 1 species